AUUGAACGCUGGCGGCGUGCUUAACACAUGCAAGUCGAACGCGAAAGGGACUUCGGUCCUGAGUAAAGUGGCGCACGGGUGAGUAACGCGUGGAUAAUCUGCCCUUAUGAUUGGAAUAACAGUUGGAAACGGCUGCUAAUACCGGAUACGCUCAGAAUGAACUUUUUGAGGAAAGAUGGCCUCUGCUUGCAUGCUAUCGCAUAAGGAUGAGUCCGCGUCCCAUUAGCUUGUUGGCGGGGUAACGGCCCACCAAGGCAACGAUGGGUAGCCGAUUUGAGAGGAUGAUCGGCCACACUGGAACUGAAACACGGUCCAGACUCCUACGGGAGGCAGCAGUAGGGAAUAUUGCGCAAUGGGCGAAAGCCUGACGCAGCGACGCCGCGUGAGGGAUGAAGGUUUUCGGAUCGUAAACCUCUGUCAGAAGGGAAGAAACUACGUUGUGCUAAUCAGCAGCGUACUGACGGUACCUUCAAAGGAAGCACCGGCUAACUCCGUGCCAGCAGCCGCGGUAA
rnacentral:rRNA from 1 species